AUUGAACGCUGGCGGCAGGCCUAACACAUGCGAGUCGAACGGUAACAGGAAGCAGCUUGCUGCUUUGCUGACGAGUGGCGGGCGGGUGAAUCAUGUCUGGGAAACUGCCUGAUGGAGGGGGAUAACUACUGGAAACGGUAGCUAAUACCGCAUAACGUCGCAAGAGCAAAGAGGGGGACCUUAGGGCCUCUUGCCAUCGGAUGUGCCCAGAUGGGAUUAGCUAGUAGGUGGGGUAACGGCUCACCUAGGCGACGAUCCCUAGCUGGUCUGAGAGGAUGACCAGCCACACUGGAACUGAGACACGGUCCAGACUCCUACGGGAGGCAGCAGUGGGGAAUAUUGCGCAAUGGGCGCAAGCCUGAUGCAGCCAUGCCGCGUGUAUGAAGAAGGCCUUCGGGUUGUAAAGUACUUUCAGCGGGGAGGAAGGGAGUAAAGUUAAUACCUUUGCUCAUUGACGUUACCCGCAGAAGAAGCCCCGGCUAACUCCGUG
rnacentral:rRNA from 1 species